rnacentral:tmRNA from 1 species
GGGGAUGAUCGGCUUCGAUAAGGAUGCGUUCUGAAUUUGCGGACCGAGGGCGGACUCGUUAAACUCGCGAAAAAACAAUAACUGCCAACUCAAAAGUUGCGGCUCCGGCAUUCGCUUACGCGUAACACCGGAGGAUCGGCUAAUCUGGACCUCUUAGGUUAAUACCGGUCUUAUAUAAGGAGGCGUAGUUCCGAUGGAUGAUUCUGCAUUGGAGCGAAAAUUAGAAUCGCUUUUGUUCAGUUCUUAACUGAAAUACGUUCGUAGAUGGUUCAGCGGCGCAAUCCUUAGACGGCGGUUCAAUUCCGCCCAUCUCCACCG